UCUUGCACGAGCGUCCAUCCUCCUUACCUGGGGAGAGGGGGCACAGGGCAGGAGAGGCAGCUGUCGCCCAGACGUGCUUCCUGGGGCAGCAGGAUGGGCCAGCCUGGGGCAGUUAGCGUCAUGCUGGAGGGUCCCUCUUCCAGGUUAGCACUCAUGCAUCGCUGCCUCUCCCUGCCAGGGGGAAGGUCUUUUCCCCAGUGCUCUGGACUGAGGUGGAGUUGGUGAGCAGAGACAGCAUGUGAGUGCCUGAGACGACGAAACCACAGAAGAUGCCUGCAAUGGCUGCCCAGAGACUCUGUGCUAGGGAACAGAGUACCCACUGUCUAGACUUGCCUGGACAGCUUGGAGCAAGCUAGAGGGCCCUCCUUAUUUCUGGAGAAGCUAGCAUCCACCAGGCCAACUCUCCUGACCCUGCUGUGCCCCGGCCUGCGCUGUCCUUACCGCUUCGCAGUGGACAUCACACAACACCGAGGUGGUGUUGAUCUGGUAGAAACUGGUGAGGGGGUCCAGCACGUCUGUGCAGCGGGAGGUGUGGCACACGCCAUCUGCCGAGAGCUCCACCACCGUCUGGCCUGGCUGCAGCACCCCCAGCUCACGGCUCAGACACACGGGGGCUUUCACUGGAGACGAGCAGGACAAUGCAGUCACCAUGAGCCCAGUGACCCCACCGCCCAUGUCUAGCUGGCCCACUGGAGACUCACACACCCUGGCUCUGUUCCCCUGGGACCCCCCCUCCCUGCCCACUCACCGCACUGGUACUUGGCGCAGCCACACAUGUUCUCCUCGCUGUUCAUGAAGUCCUCAUCCAGCUGGGACUUCUCCCACUGGGUGGGCAGAGGCAGUCAGCACUGGGGUGGGGGUCCCAGCCCCCGAUAGGGAGCAGCCUGCAGCUGGGUCCCUUUCUGAGUCAUGCUCCCCACACCCAAGCCUCCCUUCUGGGGAUAUUCUCCAUGUCCUCCCUCCCUCAGAGAGGGACCCCGACAGUUCCUGUCUUUCUUCGCCAGUUUCAGAAACAAGAGGAUGAAGAAGAAAACAAAACGAAAGGAAGUGGUGCUGGGAUCCAGCAAGAGUGCAUGUGGACCCGGAAAGUGACCUGAUAUCACCUAUGUUUCUUAUUCUCCCUUUCCCCUGGGGCUGUGUAACGAGGGUUAGAACAUGGUGUCUGGGGUCAGAACCCCUGAUCAAACCCUGGUUCUGUGCCUUUCUAGUUUCAUGAACUUAACUCUAGCUUUCUUGUUUGUGUGACUGCUACAAGCACACAACUGAUCUCUCAGGGUGGCUGUGAAAAUGAACAUGGUAAACAAUGCAAAAGGUCUGGGGAGGUUCUGUUCACAUAGAAAAACCUCAAUAAACAUGAGCUCCUGCCUA